GAUGAACGCUAGCGAGAGGGGGAACAAAGGCAAGUCGAGGGGCAGCACAAGGUAGCUGGCUAUCUGUGUGGCGACCGGCGCACGGGUGCGUAACGCGUAUGCAACUUGCGCUAUACAGGAGGAUAACCCGUCGAAAGACGGACUAAUACUGCGUAUGCUCACAACUUGGCAUCAAGUGGUGAGGAAAGAAGUUCGGUAUAGGAUAGGCAUGCGUCCCAUUAGCUUGUUGGUGAGGUAACGGCUCACCAAGGGAACGCUUGGUAGGGGAACUGAGAGGUUUCUCCCCCACAUUGGUACUGAGCCACGGACCAGACUGCUACGGCAGGGAGCAGUGCGGAAUAGUGGUCAAGGGGAGCGAGCCUGAUCCAGCCAAGUCGCGUGAAGGAUGACUGUCUUAUGGAUUGUAACCUUCUUUUAGACGGGAAGACCAAGCGUCAAGUGUGACUCCCUGAAUGUACCGUAUGAAUAAGCAUCGGCUCCCUCCGUG
rnacentral:rRNA from 1 species